rnacentral:tRNA from 1 species
GGAGAGGUGGCCGAGUGGUUUAAGGCGCUCGCCUGGAAAGCGUGUUCACGGUAACGUGUCAGGGGUUCGAAUCCCCUUCUCUCCGCCA